GUUGUUUCUCGUUUACAGGGCUUGGGAAUCUCUUUCCUCUGUAACAUGCUGCAGGUCUCUAGUUUUUGUUCAUGACUGCCAGUGUUUUGUUCAGAUUGGUGUGGCAGCUAAAUCAAUGAAUGACGGUGAACCUUUGGCUGUGGAUGCUGCUAAACUGAUGCAGGGAUCACUUUGCCAAGGUGUUUUCAAGUCUGGAGCACAGAAUUACUUGGCCAGUCUGUCUCUUUACCCUGGAAGGUCUGAGCUGCCAUUUCUGCCUUCAAAUUCCCAGGCGUGGAUUACUUUCAUUGGAGAGAAAUUGGAUGCAACACUUGCAAAAUAAACGAGUAACAUGCCAUUAGCAGUGCAAGAGUGAGUAUGAAACAAAUCAAACUAUGAGCAUUGAUCUCUUGUUCAUAUCAUCUGUCGCAUACUUUGUUUCAGAUUUUUAGGUUCUCCAGGCGAUGUUUCUUGAAACCAAGGACAGAAGAUAUCCAGAUGCAGGGCCUUACACGUUACCAUGUAAUUGAUAAUUCAAUUUUGCUCUGUUCUCUGAAAAUAUUUAUAUUACAUUGCUAAAUGUCUAAUGCUUGGCAUUGAAAGUUGAAACAUUCUCGA